CGGGGCGUAGCGCAGACUGGUAGCGCACUUGGAUGGGGUCCAAGGGGUCGGAGGUUCAAAUCCUCUCGCCCCGACCA
rnacentral:tRNA from 1 species